GGAAUCUUCCACAAUGGGCGAAAGCCUGAUGGAGCAACGCCGCGUGAAGGAUGAAGGCCUUAGGGUUGUAAACUUCUUUUAUGAGUGAAGAAUAUGACGGUAACUCAUGAAUAAGCACCGGCUAACUACGUGCCAGCAGCCGCGGUCAUACGUAGGGUGCAAGCGUUAUCCGGAGUGACUGGGCGUAAAGAGUUGCGUAGGCGGUUUAAUAAGUGAAUAGUGAAACCUGGUGGCUCAACCAUACAGACUAUUAUUCAAACUGUUAAACUCGAGAAUGGUAGAGGUAACUGGAAUUUCUAGUGUAGGAGUGAAAUCCGUAGAUAUUAGAAGGAACACCGAUGGCGUAGGCAGGUUACUGGGCCAUUACUGACGCUAAGGCACGAAAGCGUGGGGAGCGAACCGGA
rnacentral:misc_RNA from 1 species